rnacentral:rRNA from 1 species
UACGAGGGGGGCAAGCGUUGUUCGGAAUUAUUGGGCGUAAAGGGCGCGUAGGCGGUGCGGUAAGUCACCUGUGAAAACUCUGGGCUCAACUCAGAGCCUGCAGGCGAAACUGCCGUGCUUGAGUGUGGGAGAGGUGCGUGGAAUUCCCGGUGUAGCGGUGAAAUGCGUAGAUAUUGGGAGGAACACCAGUGGCGAAGGCGGCUCACUGGACCGGUACUGACGCUGAUGCGCGAAAGCGUGGGGAGCAAACGGG